GAGCUAACGCGUUAAGUAGACCGCCUGGGGAGUACGGCCGCAAGGUUAAAACUCAAAUGAAUUGACGGGGGCCCGCACAAGCGGUGGAGCAUGUGGUUUAAUUCGAUGCAACGCGAAGAACCUUACCUGGUCUUGACAUCCACAGAACUUUCCAGAGAUGGAUUGGUGCCUUCGGGAACUGUGAGACAGGUGCUGCAUGGCUGUCGUCAGCUCGUGUUGUGAAAUGUUGGGUUAAGUCCCGCAACGAGCGCAACCCUUAUCCUUUGUUGCCAGCGAUUAGGUCGGGAACUCAAAGGAGACUGCCAGUGAUAAAC
rnacentral:rRNA from 1 species